rnacentral:rRNA from 1 species
UGGGGAAGUAUUGCGCAAUGGGCGGAAAGACCUGACGCAGCGACGCCGCGUGAGGGAUGAAGGUCUUCGGAUCGUAAACCUCUGUCAGGAGGGAAGAACCGCAGGUGUGUGAACAAUGCAUCUGUCUGACGGUACCUCCAAAGGAAGCACCGGCUAACUCCGUGCCAGCAGCCGCGGUAAUACGGAGGGUGCAAGCGUUAAUCGGAAUCACUGGGCGUAAAGCGCACGUAGGCGGUUUGUUAAGUCAGGGGUGAAAUCCCACAGCCCAACUGUGGAACUGCCCUUGAUACUGGCAGACUUGAGUACCGGAGAGGGUGGCGGAAUUCCAGGUGUAGGAGUGAAAUCCGUAGAUAUCUGGAGGAACACCGGUGGCGAAGGCGGCCACCUGGACG